rnacentral:lncRNA from 1 species
CUGGUAUGGCAUGCAAGUGGAAUGUAAGUAUACAUUCAUACUGAAUGUGACUAUUUGCGGAGCACUGUGCUGUCAAGAGUAGCUCGUGAAGGAUAUGGAUAUAAGUGUCCCUCCAACUUGAGAUCACCAAAGUGACUUGUAAGCAACUCACUGUAUUUUGGUACCAGACUAUCUAAAUUUCUAAUUCAGUGACAGAAGAUCUCUAGGUACAAUCAAGUACUUGUCA